rnacentral:rRNA from 1 species
AUGAACGCUGGCGGCGUGCCUAAUACAUGCCAGUCGCGCGAACAGACGAGGAGCUUGCUCCUCUGACGUUAGCGGCGGACGGGUGAGUAACACGUGGAUAACCUACCUAUAAGACUGGGAUAACUUCGGGAAACCGGAGCUAAUACCGGAUAAUAUAUUGAACCACCUGGUUCAAUAGUGAAAGACGGUUUUGCUGUCACUUAUAGAUGGAUCCGCGCCGCAUUAGCUAGUUGGUAAGGUAACGGCUUACCAAGGCGACGAUGCGUAGCCGACCUGAGAGGGUGAUCGGCCACACUGGAACUGAGACACGGUCCAGACUCCUACGGGAGGCAGCAGUAGGGAAUCUUCCGCAAUGGGCGAAAGCCUGACGGAGCAACGCCGCGUGAGUGAUGAAGGUCUUCGGAUCGUAAAACUCUGUUAUUAGGGAAGAACAAAUGUGUAAGUAACUAUGCACGUCUUGACGGUACCUAAUCAGAAAGCCACGGCUAACUACGUG